rnacentral:rRNA from 1 species
GACGAACGCUGGCGGCGUGCUUAACACAUGCAAGUCGAACGGAAAGGCCCUGCUUUUGUGGGGUGCUCGAGUGGCGAACGGGUGAGUAACACGUGAGUAACCUGCCCUUGACUUUGGGAUAACUUCAGGAAACUGGGGCUAAUACCGGAUAGGAGCUCCUGCUGCAUGGUGGGGGUUGGAAAGUUUCGGCGGGUGGGGAUGGACUCGCGGCUUAUCAGCUUGUUGGUGGGGUAGUGGCCUACCAAGGCUUUGACGGGUAGCCGGCCUGAGAGGGUGACCGGCCACACGGGGACGGAGACACGGCCCAGACUCCUACGGGGGGCAGCAGUGGGGAAUUUUGGACAAUGGGCGCAAGCCUGAUCCAGCCAUUCCGCGUGCAGUACGAAGGCCUUGGGGUUGUAAACUGCUUUUGUAUGGAACGAAAAGGCUCUGGCUAAGACCUGGGGCUCAUGACGGUACCGUAAGAAUAAGCACCGGCUAACUACGUG